rnacentral:lncRNA from 1 species
CGGGCAGGGCGCCCCGGCGACGCGGGCCGCCGAGCGGGUGCCGGGACCGGAGGGCAGCGCGCGGGGCGGGAGACUGGCCGGUGCAAGGGGCGUGCACGGCUGCCUGGGGCCGGGCUGGGGCUGGGACGCCUCGUGUGUGGUUGUGGAAAGUGGGGCGUGGAGUGUGGAGUUGUGGCCACGGUCGUGGAUGGGACUCGGCGCCCCGUGGAGUUGAGGGAUCCACGUCCACUGAGAGCAGGAGGAAGUCUGAGAGAAAGACCAAACUUGCUUCCUUUCACAAGGUGACCCAGAGAGGACAAGAGACGUAGGCCACACAGCAGCUGUCUUCACAAUGUUCAAAACAAUGUCUGACACACACAAAGUGCCAAAGAAAUAUUUGCUGAAUGACUGUGUAUAUCAGCACAAAUAAUAGAGGCUGUAGAAGUUGCUUCGGGAGCAUUGAAGAGGUCUUCGAUAACUCUGCCUCAGGAGUUAGAAGUUUCUCAGCAAGGGGCAUUUAAAU